GUGAAGUGCCUGAAAAAGGGUAAUUUUGAUAGAGUUAAUAAUGCAGGCCGACCCUGCCUUCACC
rnacentral:tRNA from 1 species